CGUCUUGUUGCACGGCCAUAUCAGUUUCUGCUCCGUUGUGUCGGUCGGGCGAUCCGUAUCUCUUACAAGUUCAAAGUUCGAAUUACGUUUAAACAGUGCCGAGAGCAUGCCAAAUGUGCUAACAGAUGAUCGUUUCGAUACGUGCAUCACAAUGUCGUAGAAAUUAUACGUGGAAAACGAUCGUACUAGUUCGUGAAGUGCGGUGUGCUCUUGUCGCUACUCCGGGCUUUCGCGCGCGCGGAUGUGAUGCGGCUAGUCAUCGUGUAACAUUAAUUGGUUCACGGUAGAUAAACGACAACAAGUUGUUUCGAAAUGUUUCGUUGUAUUUACGCGUAUGCAUUCGUACAAAUGGCUCUCGUCGUCGUCUCGUCGUCAAGCCGCAUCACGAAAUUUCUCGCAUGACGUCACGCGUCGAUUCUCGAUUCUUCUUCAGAUCCCGCGUCCCGCCGCUCGCCAUUUUCAUCGUUUUUUGCCUCCGUACCUCCCGCGUUUUUUUCACUGUGCGUAAAUACAACGUUGAAAGUAACGAACAUAGCAGGCGAUCGCUUUGAGCAAGUGAAACUAUCGCUUAUAGAUAAUCGCGUUUGUAAGACGCGACAUGUUAGAAUCUGUUGCAUCGCGAAAAGUUAUACUGUUGUGCGCGCGUUUUACAUUUUACCCGCUUUCGCGUGUAGUGUAUUUUCCGGGCAAUGCUGGGAAUGCCGAGUGUCAUUGGACGAUCGUUAUUAAUGUGCGACUCGAGGCAAGGAUUACUUACAAAUAGAGUAAGACUUGACUGAUUUCUUGAGUGAGUAACCUUUUGGUUUGUGGAGUACAGCGAAACGAGGAGUCGGUAGAAUUUCGGCGAGAAAAACGCAUCUUUGGAGCAUCUCGGUGUUUCUCACUCACCUGUAUUCUACGUCCGGUGGAUUGGCCUCGGCGCAGCAUUUGAACCUAAGCUCGGAACCUUCGACGAUGCGAUCGAUCUUCGAGAGGGAUACCUUCGGUGCGUAACGUACCUGAAAAACAAAACAAGGCCAGCGGAGAUCGAUCUCGCCGGUGGAUGGAGGUAGAAAGGUCAGGGUGCGGAAAUCGUGAGGAGAGAAGACAGGCGUCGGAUGUGGAGAGAGGAGAACAGGAUUUAUCUCGUCAUCGAGAGAGAACCGAAAUCGUAUUGUGGACGUAUUAAUUGUGGAGAAUUCUAAAAACUGGGUGUUAAUACAGGUGUGGCGUAUGUUAUCGCGAUCUUGUUAAUGGCCGCAUGAUUUUUGGUUUGAGAGUCUUCGUCAUUACAUUACGUUAAUUUCCGAAACGUUCCAAGUAUCGAGCGUACAUCACGGUUUCGUGCGAUUUCGUUUUUCUUAUCUUCCGUCGUAAAAUACGGUUAACAUCGGGAGUGUCGUCUCAUUUUAAUUGUGUAAUUAGUGCGCGUUAAUUGAAAGUAUUUCCGCGAGUGAGUGCAACGGAGGAAUCUGAGAGGAUGAGGAGGCCUGAGAGGCAUCGAGUAACGGCAGUGCAAUCGUGAGUUCAACGUGGUUUGCAACGUAGUCUGCAACUCCGCUGCUGCGCAUCGUAUCGGCAAGGAUGUAGAAAGGAAAAUGGGGAGCAGAUGAUAUCUUCCUUGGAUUCAAGGACGCAAUUAUCUGCGAGAAGUCACGCAUGAAAAUUAAUGACGCUACACGCGAUUGUAUCUUUAUUCAAUUGUACAUUAUACGAUAUUAUGCUACUUGCCGUGACGCAAUAUGUACUCACUGUGAAGGCUUGCGACACAAUCCAAUUCCCCACCAAAGUCCUUCGGCAGACAUUCGGGCGGUAUAUGAGGAUAUAUGUCGGAGACAUUACCCGUGUAAAGGUACUCGAAGAAUCUGCGGAUGCUGUUUAUCGAUAGUCUAGGCAAGUGACCGAGUCGCACGCCGACCAUGUCGAAGAGAAAUAUGUACCCUGGCGAGCAGCCGUCUGUGUAGAGGCUCGCAUCGAUAGACAUCAGCAGCAGCUUGAUGCCAUCGUUGAACAUGUACUCGGAUGGCCGUGAAUCCGCCAGUCGAUGAAAAAUUAUCCGGUUACCGUUUUUAUCGGGCUUGGGAAGCAUCACAAAUUCUCUAUAGCACAAUAAAUAAGCUCGAGGAAGAAAUUCAUAACACGCAACUUGCAUGCUGGAACCUACGAUUAUGAUAACUAUGAUCAUCGAGAAACGUUUCAUGAAGAAUGAAAAAUGUGAAAGUGAAAGCGCCGAAAUUGACGAACAUCCGCGAAUGUAUAAACUUAUUUAAAAUUGCACAACGCAAGGCGAGACUUUUUCUCGCCAGUAUAUUGUAAGUAUUUACGUAUAAUAAUUGAAAUUAUUGAAAUUUUA